CGGCGCGGGUGGAAUUCCCGCGAUCUGUCUCAUUCCCUGCGCCGCCGAGAAAAGUGAGAUCCCGCGAGACUCCCAGGGGUCUCAUUCUGUCACCCAGGUUGGAGUGCAGUGGCAACAUCAUAGCUCACUGCAGCCUUGAACCCCUGGGCUCAAGUGAUCCUCCUGCUUCAGCCUCCUGAGUAGCUGGGGCUACAGGCACUUUCCCUACAUUUUCAAAGGCCUGCAUCAUCACAUCUGCCACAGCAUUCUCUAUCAUUGAGGCAUUUUCUCAGGAAAUCACCUGUGAAAUAUUUUGCAGCUAACCACCUACCUGUGCCCCACCAGCCAACAUGCUUUACUCCUGCCAGGCAGCUGUGUCACUCUGGAAGCUUUGAUCAGAAAAUUGUAGUUGCUGUUGCCUCUGAUGUGCAAGUCCAAGAUUCUUGGGCCGCAGGACAUGUUCUGCAUAUAUUCCUGGAGAAUAGACCAACAAUGAGACUGAAUCAGUAACGAAAAGUCUUCUAUGAAAGAAAAACCCAGAACCAUAUUGCUUUACUGCUUAAUUCUAAUAAACUCAUAAAGAACAACAAACACCAAUUCUUCUCAAACUAUUCCAAAAAAUUGAAGCAGGGCAGGGAGGAAUUCUUCCUAACUCAUUCUAAAAGGCCAGCAUUAUCCUGAUACCAAAACCAGACAAGGACACAGCAAAAACAGAGAACUACAGGCCAAUAUCCCUGAUGAUGCUAAAUGGAAAAAUCCUCAACAAAAUACUAGCAAAACCAAUGCAACAACACAGAAAAGAUAAUACACCAUGAUCAAAUGAGAUUUAUCCCAAGUAUGCAAUCAUGAUUCAACAUACACAAAUCAAUACUUGUGAUACAUCACAUCAACAGAGUGAAGGACCAAAAGACAUAUGAUCAUCUCAACAGAUACAGAAAAAGAUUUGAUAUGAUUCAAAAUCCCAUUAUGAUAAAAACUUUUUUUU
rnacentral:lncRNA from 1 species